UGCGUAGGCGGAAUAUUAAGUCAGUGGUGAAAUCCUGCGGCUCAACCGUAGAACUGCCAUUGAUACUGAUAUUCUUGAAUGUAGUUGAGGAAGGCGGAAUGUGUAAUGUAGCGGUGAAAUGCUUAGAUAUUACACAGAACACCGAUUGCGAAGGCAGCUUACUAAACUAUGAUUGACGCUGAGGCACGAAAGCGUGGGGAGCGAACAGGAUUAGAUACCCUGGUAGUCC
rnacentral:rRNA from 1 species